CAGUCUGGCUGGAGCUGGACCGGCUGGUGGCGCCAGGCAGUGCCAAGCACCCCUGGCAGCCCUGCAGAGGGUUCUCAAAUCCAGAUUUCAUUCUGCAGUCCCGGCAGUGUUUUGACGACUGCCUCACUAAAGGAAGCUAAAAGCUGUGCUGAUGCCUCCCAGACGAGCCUCGUUGGAAGCACAGAACCUUCACGGCUCGGAGCCGCUGACACCGUGACAAAGGGAGCCCUGCUCAGGGAGAAAGAGCAAAUGAGAGGCAGUUGCACUUUUUCAGGUGUCAGGCUGGAGGAAGCCACUUGAAGAUGAAUCUACCUCUGCCUUAGGAUUGCCUGAUGGCCUGUGCCAUUCCAUGUUAUAUCUACUGAUUUGCUCCCUGUAUUCAAAGAUUUUUUUUUUUUACUUAAUUCUCUCUUACUGACCCUGAGAGUGACCAUAUUUUUAACCAAUUUGGUCUUCAGCCUCAAAACUUAGCUCUUUCCUUUUGUGGUCCCCGAAUCCUAUCACGUGUCAUGGUGGCUGUGAAGAUGUUUGCCAAGCCUGCUGAGAAGGCUCAUCUGUGGCAUCCAAAAGCAGAGAUUUCAACUCUGGACCCCUGUGACCUGCCUUUGUAAUUAUGGAUACCCAGCACUGUUUUGAAAUAUCAGUGGACAUCCAGUUUUUAAAAGCCCUCAGAGCUUUGGGAGACACCCCUUUAUCUCUCUGGCAUGUCAGAGAACCGAUUCAACCCUUCUCAUCUCCUCCUCCUUCCCUCUCUUGGGCCAUCAGGAUGCGGCAGCAACUCACUGUGCAUGUUUUUACAGCUCUUCUCCAGUAAUGCUGCCAUUUCCACUGCAGACCACAGGAUAAAAGGACCGCUUCACCGUGGCCCAGGAUACCCUUUUAAGUAGGAGGUAACUAUUCAGUUUCGUAGUGGCCCAUACAUAAACUUGAUUAUGUUCUUCGUUGCUCCAAUAUACUAUUUGUGUGUUUUGUUUUUUCCAGAGGGAGAAGAAAGUACUGCUUUGAUCUAAAAUUAAGCAAACGUUCUUCAAUAAACCCACCAUGAGACUUGACCACUAAUGGUGACCAGCAGUGGCUUUGUCAUGGCCCUGCCCACUGGGGGCAGGCACAUGCCGGGGCCAGGGCAGGCUGCCAGCUGGUGAGCACGAAUAGGUGGCUGGUGGAGCGCAUGCAGUGGGAAGGGCAGAUGGCUCCAUUUUGAUUUGUUAGCAGGCCACUUCCUCGGAAGGGGCUUUCCCUUCAGUGGGGUCUGCACCGCCAGCCUCAGCUGUCUUGGAGCAGAUGUGUAUAGUUAGAGAUGGGGACCUUUUCACUGUAAAUACUGCUCACAUGUUCCUAGGCUGACUUUACUAUGUGCAGAGCCUCUUCUCAAAUAUCCAAAUCCCCUCUGUUGGGUACUACAGAACAGAUGUUACCCUGCCUCCUAUUACAUUAAUUUACGAACUUUACAUAUGCUGAGUUACGGACCCUAAGCUGUUGCAUGUGCUUGGCUCUUAUGUUCCAAAAAGUACAUUUGUAUGGUUUUGUGGAAACUGUGCUGUUCUGCUUUUGCAGUCUGUGAGAUUCUGAUUUUUUUUUUCUCAUCAGCAAUUAUCCUUGUCUUGGAACAUCAGAGCUUGAAGAAAGGGAUUCUAGCAGCCCACCUCUCUCCUUCCUAAUCCAGAUGGUUAGAGGCUUAGAGAGAGGUGGUGGUUGCUCUGAGUUUACCAGAUUCAGUGACAAACCCCUUCUAAUUUCUAAUCAAUCUGGCAGCCUUCAUUUACCAAAAGUUGACUUUUGAUAGUAUAACUUUUAUACACCGUGAGACAACUUAUUUUAAAAAACAGUUUAGAAAUAUUUAAUUUUUUUUUGAAAGACUUUUUAAGGUCAGGCACCAUGGGUCAUGCCUAUCAUCUCAACGCUUUGAGGACUGAAGUGGGAGGAUCAUUUGAGGCCAAGAUUUCAAGAUCAGCUUGGGCAACAUAGUGAGACUCUGUCUCUAAAAAAUUAAAAAAAAAAAUAGCCAGGUGUGGUGGCGCAUGCCUGUAGUCCCAGCUACUUCGGAGGCUGAAGUGGGAGGAUCCAUUGAGCCUAAGAGAUGGCGAUUGAGUAAGCCAUGAUUGCACCACUGCACUCCAGCCUGGACGACAGAGAUGUCAGAAAAAAAUUAGUUUUAUUAUUAUUAGUUUAUAAUAAUAUUAUUUUAAUAUUAAUAUUAUUUAAUAAUUUCAUAUUAUUUAUUAUUAUUAGUUUUAUUAUUAGCAAAACUGAGUGGAAGGCACAGAGAUUUUCCAUAUUCUUCCUGCCUCUCCAACAAACAUGUCUCCCUCAUUAUCAACAUUUCUUCCCAGAGUGGUACACUUUUUAUAAUUGAUGAUCCUACACUGACACAUCAUCAUCACAAUGAGUUCAUAGUUGACGCCAGGGUUCACUCUUGGUGUUGUACAUUCCAGGCAUUUGGACAAAUGUAUAAUGACAUGACUCCACCAUUUUAGUAUCAUACAGACGAGUUUCACUGCCCUAAAAUCCUCUGUGCUCCACUGAUACUUACUCCUUCAUCCCCUUGCUCCCUCAGCCCCUGACAACCACUGAUCUUUUUAUUGUCUCCAUAGUUUGGUCUUAUUUAAUAUUUUUUGAGGUUGCACUGUUGCCCCAGGACAUCGUAUGAGUAGAGGGUUAACCACCUUAGCCAAGAGUAAUUUGGUCUGGUGAGUUCUCCACCUUCAGGACAAAAGCAUUUCAGAACCAUCCUAACAAUAGUGUUCCCAUAAGUAACCAGACACUGUUUGUAUCCAUAGCAACAUGGCUCCAUGAGCCCUGCUUCCGAGGAGCAGCUGCCCUUCCUGGGCACUGUCAAGAGUUGUUCUUCUCUGACAUCCACACCCUUCUUUACCUGGCACAUACCCCAGCCCAGGCACCAGGCAUCCAGGGCCUUCUAUGGCUGUCCGGAUGCAUUCCUUCACAGCUGGAAUGUGGUUGGCUUGUUGACUUCUGUUCCCAGCAUAGUGAACAGUGGGCACUAUAAGCCAGUAGGCACUCAAUUGAUGAUUCUUCAAUGAAAUAAUUGAUGCCACUUUUAGGUCAGUCUUUCUUGUACGUUACACCUUCUGUUGUUCAACAGAGCCCCACAAUAUCCCAGAACUUGGAGGUCUUAUCUCGGGGUUUCUCAGAUGUUGGAGUACCCAGGUAUCACCUGCUGAGCCAGUUUCCCUGGCCUCACCUGCAGGGGCUCUGAGUCAGUAAAUCUGGGGCAGGCCCAGUACUUUGCAUGUGAGCACAGACCCAGGUGUUUCUGAACCUGGUGGUCCAGGGACUGCUGCAGGAAGGAGCCAAUAGGACUGCAUGCCUUAGAGGCAGUGGGUCUCAUCCAUCCCUAUCUAUGGCACUGACUACAGGCCAUGUCCAGGCCACAUGGGCACAUGCUAUUAUAAUUAUUUUGUGUGAUGGAUGAGUUACAGAACUGGAGCCCUAAGACCUGAGUUCUAGUUUCAGCUCUGCCAGUUGCUGGCUGAUUGAAACUGAACAAGCCACCUGCCUUCCCUGAGACUGUCUCUUCUCCUGUGAAAUUAGGGCAUUAGAAUACAUGAAGACCCCUUUAUGUCCUUAAUAACCUGUAAGUUUAAGAACCUAGGGAAUCUCCAUGCUGGUGGCUGCGGUUAUAUCCCCUUAUCCUCAACUCGUGAAGAAAGAGUCAAAAAUGGCAGCAGGGUUGUGUCAACUGCUCUCCUCAGCAGCUAUCAUAAGGGAAUUGCCUUUGUCAUUUUCCCCAGCCAUCACCACACUCCCACACGGCCACCAUCACCUAAACCAUCUGGCAGUGGGGGUUACCUCCUAAAUCUAAGACGCAGAGACCCACCGCAGGCCUUUCUUUCUGGCUGCCCUCCACUCCCACCCAGAGGCUCAGUUUUGCUGGGCUGCACACCUCCGAGGACUCAGUUCUUUGUGUUUCAUGUUGUUUCAUAUCCACUAGUGUUACAGAAACUGCUGCAAACCAGGGACCAAAAGUCCAUAGGUUCUAAUUCUAGCUGUGACACUAGUGAGAUGAGUGACUGCUGGCAAGUUACUUUAUCUAUCUGACCUCACCUCCCAUGUACAAAAUUGGGUCUGUAUGCACAUUUGUGGUUCUAAAUCCUGGAGUCCAAAUCAGAGUUCUUUGUGCAAAAUAUACGUAGCUAGGUCCUAACCUCGGAGAUCCUGACUCAGUCUGGGGAAAGGCGCAGAUCUUGGGGAGAAAACAACUCUCUAGAAGAGUCUCGCCUUCAGUGAGUGACAAGAUCUCUCCUGUCUCUCGGUUCACAAUGUUACCCUAACUAAUCCAUCCUCUGAUGUCACCUGCUAACAACUUCCCCUGUGGCAUCAAACCAGUAGCCCAUUUGCAGCUAGUACAAACACUUCUUUACAUUUAAGUUUUGUUUACGAGAUUUAGCCUACAAUCAUAGAGGCUGCCAGCUGGGUUUCAAAUGUGUAUGUUCCAUUGCUAAUAGGAAAAACUGCAUCUAUUAGAAAAAUUCUCUCUGGGAGCUGAGCACAGAGGCAGGCCUUGUAUUGCAAACAUUUGAAAAGCCAUAAGCAGGUAUUCUGGACUGUGUUUUAGAUCACCUGAGAACAUUUCUUGAACACUAGUAUUUGCUUAGAGUGACAAACCUAUUAAGUGGUUCUUUCAGGUAAGUUUGCAUCCAAGCAAUGUCGUCUGAAUCGCAGGAGGAAGUCAGGAGUUGUGUCUGGCUUUCUGGCCAUACAAAUGGCAUAUGGGAAAGUCAUUGUAUAUUAUUAAUAUCCUUUGAUGUAUAUUAUUAUGACUUUCUCACGGUAGUAAUGUUGUUGGUUUUUAUUAAUGUUAUUUUUAUAGCAAUGCUAAUAUUAUGAGCUAAAAGUUUCUGAGCAUCUGCUGGGUGCCAAAAAUUCUUAUAAAUGCUUUACAUGCAUUAGCUCCUAACAACACUUUGAAGUAAUUCUUAUUGUCCUUACUUGACAUAUACAGGAAUAAAAACCUGACCAUUAGACCGAGCGUGGUGGCUCACGCCUGUAAUCCCAACACUUUGGGAGGCCGAGGCAGGCGGAUCACCUGAGGUCAGGAGUUUGAGACCAGCCUGGCCACCAUGGUGAGACCCCGUCUCUACUAAAAACACACAAAAAAUUAGCCGGGCGUGGUGGUGGGUACUUGUAAUCUCAGCUACCCGGGAGGCUAAUGCAGGAGAAUCGCUUGAACCCAGGAGGCGGAGGUUGCAGUGAGCCAAGAUUGCGCCAUUGCACUCCAGCCUGGGCAACAAGAGCAAAACUCUUUCAAAUAAACAAACAAAACCUAAGCAUUUGAGGGGUUUGGCCUGGGCAGUGGAGCUUGUGAGCUAUAUGAGCUGGAAUCUGAGUCAAGGCUGGGCUGGUGAAAGGAGUUCACUCAAGUUCCCAAGGUAUUCUGUCCUCCAGGACUCUGAAUCACCUGGGAGGAGAAGGAAUUGUGGCGGGCCUAACACCUUUUCUUUCCCAAACACCAAGAGCAGGUUCUUUCUGUUACAUCCAUUGAGGUCACAUUCUUGAAGUGCAUUUUGAGGAAGUCAUUAUUUUCGCUACAGCAGGGACUGAUGUAUCAGUCUAUUAGAAUUCAGAAAAAAGUAAGCAAACAAAAAACGUGUUGGAAUUAUUCUCUUCUAGCAUUUUGAAAUGUACAAUGGUUAAUGUUAACUAUAGCCACCAUGAUGUAUUGAAGACCAGGUCUUAUUCUUUUUAUCUAACUGUACAUUUGUACCCAUUAACCUAAUGCUCAUAGCAUCAAGAAAAGAUCAAUAUUUAAGGUGACAAAUAUCCCAAUUAUGCUGAUUUGAUUAUAUGAAUGUGUUGAAUUAUCAUAUGUACUCCCAAAAUAUGCACAUCUAAGAUGUAUCAAUAAAAAUAAAGACAAAAAUUAAAGCUUUUACAGUAGAAAAAAGGUUUUAGAGAAAUUAUGAUUACUUGAUUCACCUAAACUGACAGUCUUGCUUGGAAUGAAUUACUGCUUUUUGUAACAUAGUUUUAGAAGAGAGAUUCACAUUUAAUGUUACUUUGUGCUAAGCACUGUAAUCCAUGCCUGGGUGCUCACAGCGCUCCUCUGGGACCAGGCAUCACCAUCUCCUCUGUAAAAGGAAGGUCAGCCUGUUGCCAAGACCACAGGAUAAACGGCUUGGCUGAUUUAGGAAACCCAGUUGGUCUUAUGACAAAACAUGCGCAUUUGCCCUUCACCAGGUGAUUUUUCUGUAGGGUUAUCUUCAACAGUCCGACAAAGCUGUGUUCCACCAGCUCAGGCAGGCUGUGACCAGGAUCACCAGCCAUGUGGCAUCAGGAAGAAGGGGCUGUGUGGCCAGGCUCAAUCUCUGGUCCUGCAGCCUUCUGCCUUUGGCUUUCUGAAGCGAGCUGAACUAGAGAUUGGGCCCAGCUCGGCAGCGCAGUUUCAGGAGAGCCAGGAUACAAACCAUCCCAGUCUCUGUUCCCACAAAGGAGAAGCUAAACCAUUUUUUAUUUGCCCAUUCUAAGUGCUAAGUGAUAUGCAACUGCUUCACAUAAGCCUUCCAGCCUUCCAGCCGACUCUGCUUUCAGGAGAUAUCCUUAUGUCCCUUUUGCAUGGCUUAGGAGAGUGAAGCACGUGAGAAUUGAACGAGGGGUCAAGGGUCACAUAACACAUGAGCACGAAACCGGGACUCUCCUGGGGUAUCAGACCCCAAAGCCAGUGGUCUGCGCUUGAUCUUUGCUAACGUCCGAGAAGCAAUAAGUCCAGGGCUCUUGACACAUUAUUGUGCAUUUUACUUUGGGAGGGACUGUGGGUCCACUCUGCUUUUAACAGGAGGAAAUUAAAUAUUUACAUUUGAUUCCAGUUUGGCCCCAUGACUGUCCGGCUUCUUUCCUGUCAAAGGCCCAAAUUCCCUGUUUUAAAGUAGAGGGUGAAUUUGUGUAAUGAGGAUGGAUCGGGCACGUGUAGAACACACUCUUUCACCUGCAGAUUCACACUCCAAACACAAAGAAAUACUGGAUCAUAUAUGGUAUAUUUUAAAAGAUGCCAUAGGCAUACUUAAAAAGCACAACAGAAUUCUAUUUUCUCACGUCAGAGGGCAGAGUCUUAUGAGCUAUUGAGAGGAAAACUGUAUCUUAGGGGUUGAGAGCCUAACGUCUGCUUGGGGGUGUUUGUGGCCCUGGCAGCUGUUGUGUGCAGUGCACAUUAGAACUGAGCAGCUUUAUAAAGCCAGGAACAAGGGUAGAGUCCCUGUGUCUCUGAAUAGAAAUUAGCGAUGCUUAGCCUUCUGUACCAAGGAAUGCAUCACAAAAGCUAAUGCUGGGACUGGGCCUGGUGUGGGAUAGGAGUCACACAGAGGAGUCAGAACGCCAACUGUGGCUGGUGUAAGGGGCCUCCAUUCACACUGUCUUUGCUGUUUGGAAAAUCUGAGCAAGAAUUUAAGGUAAAAGCUGAUGUGGAACAGCUUGCAACCCAAAAGUCUCAAGCCCAGCAUAAAAAUCAUUGCUCCAGUGAAGAUGCCUGCAGAGCUCAAGGCAUUUCUGAGACUCCAUGGGAGAAUGAUUCCUAAGGAAGGUGUGCCCCCAGCACCUGUGGAGACUCAUCACCUUGAGGGCAAACAGACUCUGUAAAAGGAGAAUUCACCUCUAAGGAGCUGCAGACAAUAGAGGGAUUAAAAUGGGCCUUUGAUCAUUCAAAAAGCAUUUUAAAGGAAAAAAUAAAGUAACAUAAUCCAAAUUCCAACAGGAGACUUGAAAAAGAAGGUAAUAACAAAAUGGAAAAUAAAGUCACUGAAAUAAAGCAAGUGAGUUGGACUAUGAAUGUCUCCUGUCCAUUAGCUGUGUCCCCGGCUGCAAGGUCCAUGGGGACUGUGCCUCCCUUGACCUUGAAUCUCAAUGCCUUAGCAAAGUGCCUGGUUCUGGGUAGGUUCACAGUACACAUGUACCUCCCAAAUGGAUGGAUUGCCAACUUAAAUGUUCAUAGGAAGGUGCUAUUUUCAGGCACUUCAGGUGUGGACAUCGGUGUUGUCAGAUCUUUUCUGUUCUAGCCAGGCAUUGUGGACAUCACCUUACUAUGUGAGGGAACAAGCUGCAUUGGUGGAGAGGAAACCAGCAGGAGCACAAUAGUGACCCAUUUCUCUUGUCUUAUGCACUGCAGUGGAAAUAGCCCAGUGUGCAUGGUGGAUUUUAUUAUGGUGCCAGUAGAAAGAUAGGGGGUUUCCUCUAUGAGCUGGCUGACUUACAUGAGCUCAUUCUCUGCAGCAUUUCUCUAGCCAUCUCCUGUCACAUCGUUUAUUGUGUUCACUAGUCCUGUGCUAACGAGGAUCUUUGAAAAAUGACUGGUAUGGUAAUGAUCUACGGAACUUACUGUAGAUAGCAAUUAAAUAUCGUUAACGGCGGGUUACGCUGACACAUUAAAAGGCCUACAGGCUGCGAUUUAUGAAGACAGCUCUGCUGCCUCCUUUGUAUGUGAUGCAUUUCUCUGGUUUCGGCUUAGGCUGUCUGGUCUCAGAAGGGAAUGAUUUCCAGGCUUUCCCCAUCAUCACUCCAGUUGCCAGGCCACCCACAAUCACAUUAGCAAGCUUUAUUGUCCCUAUUGCACCUCCUAAUGCCCUCAGGGUGCUUGAGGUAGCUUUUAUCAAGGUAAGGCCUAGGUCAACAUUUUGUUGUGCAGAAAAGGCAUCUGCUUUCAGAGGAGAAAAUUUAGAUACAAUAUUGAGGUGAAUCUUAUAAGUGAUGUAAGAUAAUUUGAUGACAAGAAUUGAGAUUAUAUGCUGAGAUCUUACUGUCUUAAACUUUGUUGAUUUCUGAAAAUAAUAGAAAUGCAAUCCUAGCUAAAGGAAGAGAAGUAGUCUAGCUCACCAGUGGCCAGCAAACUCUGUAAAGAAGUAUUGCCUUCAUGCAGCAAUCUCACCUAAUAUGAGACUCCAGAUAGAAGAUAGCUCCUGAGAAGUCAAAACACAAACCAAUAUCAUGUAAAUUACUCUCACGUGAAAAAUAGACAAGAGAUAACCAACCCAGUCCCAACCGUCUCACACCCCCACUGGCCUCCUGCACUCAUGGAUGCCACAUUCUUCAACAUUUGUACUUCUGUUAACAGAGUUAAAGUAGAGCAAACAUAGGCUCUUUUACCAAGAGCGUAUGGACUAAAUACAGAUGCAAUGCUAAUAACCACAUGGGAAAAACAAGAUCCUGAGACACUGUUAUGUUUUUCUCCCUCUUUUGUGGCCAAGAGUGUGUGCUCUCUUGCCUUUGUAGAUUUUGCUCACGUUUUUGGGUGAUAGGACCAAAAGCAGUAGUGUCUAGGCCACUAGGAGACAAGGCAAACCAUUAUCUGUGAAAGCCUGGGUUUUCUGAGAGGAAGCAUGCUGGACACUGCCAGUAGAGGGAGAAGUCAUGGUGUGAAGUUUUCCAUGAUGAGAGAUAAGGACAGCUAGGGCAUGGGGAUGCAGAGGAUGUUCUUGUUGUUGAUGGUGUUGUGGAGGUUGUACCCCAAGUCUCUGGGAUAAGACAGCCCCAUGCACAUAGAGGUCAUGAAAAAUGUGAGGACCCUGGACACUGAGUGUCACGGCUUUGGGGACAGUGAUGACAUGUCCCUGUGUCCAAACAGCUCAGUCAGCUUAUCUAAAAGGGAUGGAGAGUACUUCUGUGGGAACAGUUGGAGCUGAAGAACAGAGAACAUUUCCUUUGAUGUUUGGACUCUACGGAAUCUUUGGGAAUUGUGUUCAAGUCCAGGAGGAAUGGCUGAAAACAUGAUUGAGAUAAAUUUGCAGCCAGGAGGUUGAAGACAAAUUAGGAUCUGAUUUUAUUCAACUGGGAGUAACCAUGGCCAAGCAUAAUUCUUCUGGUGGAUUCUGAAGUUAUUUGGAAUUUGCCCAUAAGAUGAAUUUUCCUGAAGAAGGAAGGAUGUGGAGGCUGAUACUGAGGCCCCAUUUCCACAUGUGAACUUCUAAGAAACCACAGCUUUCAUCCAGAGUGGAGAUGAAUGGCACUGGGGUCCACGUUGCCAGAAUGCCUGGGGACAAGGAAUGAGGACUUGUCACCCAAGGCACGAGAUCCAUAGUGGCUACGGGAAUGAAGCCACUGCCUUUGUGGAAAUGACUAAUUCACCCAAAUCCAAGGUGUUUUCCACAACUGAGAGGCCUGGGCUGAGGAUAGAGAUUUGAGCCUUAACUGAGACAUCCUACUGGGAAGUUGCAUCAGUGGUCAGUAUCUGAGGCCACAGAAAAUGUCACAUGAUGGUGUGUCACAGGGCUCCACAUUUAGGACAUUUGUGUACUCAAAGAGAAUCUUUGACGACCAUGACUCAGAGAAAUUUUUAAUGACUUAAAACAGGUUUUGGAUCAUGUUGAUGAUGACAGAUGGUGCAAGCCACCUACCUAAAUCCCUCUGGGGAGGGGUGGUAUUUCUGCAUUGUUCUCAGAGCAGAAAUGUGACAUGGAUGUGGAGGCUCUGGACAGUGAGAUGUGAAGCUGGAGGCAUGGCUUGGCCUCCCUAGAAUGGGUGUGGCCAGGGCAAAGCUGGGACAUCCUCAACCCAAAGGUUUGCAUAACUGGAUUUGAACUCCUUAUAGAUAUUCCUAAACAGUGGUGAUACGGAAGGGAGAGGAGGAGGAAAAAAGGAUGGCUCUUCAUCAAGAGCAAAAGCAAGAGAUUCAGAUAGGAGAUUUCACUUGGCUUUUCUAGUCUUGGGUGGGGACCCAUUAUGGAAGUGAAGAGCUCUGGAAUCUUCCAGAGAAACAAGCAUGGGUAUCCUUUAACAGGUCCCAGAUAGCCAGUUACCGCAGAACAAUGUCCUGUUACCAGAAGCUUAUUGCAGACCUUGUAACCUGAAUCAUUGUGUUGGCCCAGGGCACACCCAGGAGGGUGGCUUGGGAAGGAGAUUCCAGGCUGAGGUAAAUACCGACAUCUGAUUUCCUGACAUUGAGUAGGAAAGCAUUUCAGAGACAAGCUCCAAGAGCUUUGGAAAGGGGAACAUUCACCCACUUCCCACAAUUUAUAAGGGGGCUGGCAGUGGUUGUUUUGGGGAGGAUAAUAAUGGGAAAAGAGAACGGGGUAUGUUAUGGCACACAGAACCAAAAAUGAAGAUUCCUAAGUAGUAAUCUAUUAGUGAGGGAAUUCUUGGGCAAUUUCAAAAAACUCAAAACGUGUUACAGAGAGGAGCCCCUUGGACUUUGUAGGAGACUCGUUUGUCUAUCUGGCCCCAAGGCCCAGAAGUAGCUGACAAAGAGACCCAGUUGUCCCCUGGAUGCCAAACUUGGGGAGAGAAUGGUCCUGGGUGGCAGCCCCUCCCCAUCCAGCCUCAGUCAGAGCUCUCCAGCAAGUCAGCCUGCAGGUAGCUAUGGAGUUGCAGUGUAGUCCUGUUAUUAAUGGCUUUCUGCUUUGGCUGGAUUUCAGACAUAAAGAAGAGAAGAAGGAAAGGUCUGGGUGAUCUGCCUCUUCUGAUAACACUAAAGUUGCACACAUCACCUCAGCUCAUAUUUGAUGGGCUGGGACUUAGUCACUAAGCCACACCCAUCUGCAAAAGUGCUGGAAAGCGUUGCACUCUCUGAUGACCACAUGCCCAGCUAAAUAUUGAGGUCAUAUAUUCCUAUAUAAUAAGACAUAAGCAAAGUGCAGUCACUGAGAAUCACUAGCAGUUUACACCACGAGUAUCUUCACAGCCCAGAAAAGACACUGGGUUGAGUUAAAAUGAAAACUGGAAUAAAUACAAUGAGAAGAUAGAAAGCCUGCUGAGAACACUGGGGUACUUGAGUGGAACUUUAAACAGUGUCUUUGCUAAUGUGUAUGGUAACUGUUCAGAUUGUCUGUUUCUUUAAGCUAAUUGUUUUCUGAUUGUUGAAGCAAUAAUAACUCAUAUCUUGCUUGAGAAAAAAUUAAAAAGUAUGAAAAAUCAAAUAUAAUUAUCACACUACC
rnacentral:lncRNA from 1 species